CACCUAACAGCUAGCCUAACAAUAAAAUUUUAUAGUAAAACUCAAAACUUACAACACAAAAAAUAAAUCAUUUGCCCCCCUUAGUAUGAGAGACAAAAAAGGAUAAAAGAGCUAUAGACAAAGUACCGCAAGGGAACGCUGAAAAAGAAGUGAAAUAAACCAUUUAAGUAAAAAAUAGCAGAGCUAGCCCCUCGUACCUUUUGCAUCAUGAUUUAGCAAGUACAAUACAAGCAAAGAGCCCUUUAGUUUGUAACCCCGAAACUGAGCGAGCUACUCCAAGACAGCCUUUGAGGGCAAACCCGUCUCUGUAGCAAAAGAGUGGGAAGAGCUUUGAGUAGAGGUGAUAAACCUACCGAGCCCAGUGAUAGCUGGUUGCCUGAGAAAUGAAUAGGAGUUCAGCCCUUACUCUUCCCCCCCCCCGCCCGUCUUAUUAAACUAGAGGAAGACUAAAGGAAGACAAAGGAGUUAGUCAAAAGGGGGACAGCCCUUUUGAUCUAAGAAACAACUUUUACAGGUGAAACAAGAUCACAAUAAUUAAGGAUCAAGACCUAAGUGGGCUUAAAAGCAGCCAUCUUAAAAGAAAGCGUUAAAGCUCUAAACUAACCCCACCCCUUAUAUACUGAUACUCAAUCUUCUCCCCUGCCCCCUACCAGGCUGUCUUAUGCCCCCAUAAGAAUAAUAAUGCUAAAAUGAGUAAUAAGAAGAAAUCCUCUUCUCCUAGCAUACGUGUAAGUCGGAUCGAACCCCCCACCGACCACUACUCGACCCCAAACCCAGAGGGACAUAAGUUGAAAAAACAAGAAAACGACUUAAUAAAAAUCGUUGACCCUACACAGGAAUGCACCAAGGAAAGACUAAAAGAGAGGGAAGGAACUCGGCAAACCCAAGCCUCGCCUGUUUACCAAAAACAUCGCCUCUUGACUUACACACAUAAGAGGUCUCGCCUGCCCACUGACUACAUGUUAAAUGGCCGUGGUAUUCUAACCACGCGAAGGUAGCGUAAUCAUUUGUCUUUUAAAUGAAGACCUGUAUGAAUGGCAAAACGAGGGCUUAACUGUCUCCCCCCUCCAGUCAAUGAAAUUGACCUCCCCGUGCAGAGGCGGGGAUACAACUAUAAGACGAGAAGACCCUGUGGAGCUUUAGACCUAAAAUAAACUCACCCAACAAAAACAAGCACAAUUCAAAACAGGUGAAAAUUAUUGAAGUGUCUUUGGUUGGGGUGACCCUGGGGUAGCACAUAACCCCCACGAAGAUGGAGGGUACAACCCCUCAACACUUAGAGCCGCCCCUCCAAGUAACAAAACCUUUGACUUUAAAAAUGAUCCGGCGCAGCCGAAUAACGAACCGAGUUACCCCAGGGAUAACAGCGCAAUCCCCUCCAAGAGCUCCUAUCGACAAGGGGGUUUACGACCUCGAUGUUGGAUCAGGACAUCCUAAUGGUGCAGCCGCUAUUAAGGGUUCGUUUGUUCAACGAUUAACAGUCCUACGCGAUCUGAGUUCAGACCGGAGUAAUCCAGGUCAGUUUCUAUCUAUAAAGAGCCUAUUCCCAGUACGAAAGGACCUGAAAAGGGGGGCCAAUGCCCUAAGCACGCCCCUCCCCCCACCGCUGAAACCCAAUAAAACGGAUAAGGGGGCUCAUAAAUAACCCGGAGACUCCGGGUA
rnacentral:rRNA from 1 species